rnacentral:rRNA from 1 species
UACGGAGGGUGCAAGCGUUAAUCGGAAUUACUGGGCGUAAAGAGUGUGUAGGCGGUGCUCUAAGUUCGGUGUGAAAUCUCCCGGCUCAACUGGGAGGGUGCGCCGGAAACUGGAGUGCUGGAGCGCGGGAGAGGAAAGCGGAAUUCCUGGUGUAGCGGUGAAAUGCGUAGAUAUCAGGAGGAACACCGGCGGUGUAGACGGCUUUCUGGACCGUAGCUGACGCUGAGACACGAAAGCGUGGGUAGCAAACAGG